rnacentral:rRNA from 1 species
UACGGAGGGGACUAGCGUUGGGCGGAAUUACUGGGCGUAAAGCGCACGUAGGCGGAUGUGUAAGUCAGGGGUGAAAUCCCGGGGCUCAACCUCGGAACUGCCUUUCAUACUGCAAAUCUCGAGUCCGGAAGAGGUGAGUGGAAUUCCUAGUGUAGAGGUGAAAUUCGUAGAUAUCUGGAGGAACACCGGUGGCGAAGGCGGCAUCCUGGACCAAUUCUGACGCUGAGGAGCGAAAGCCAGGGGAGCAAGCGGG